CCUCAGCUAUAUAAGCAGAUCUCAGAGGAGAAUGGAAACAAGGAGCAUCCAGGCACCUCUGACUAUCAGACCACAGCGUCGGAUAACCCCCUCAACAUCAUGGCGGUUCCCACUCCGAGGAAAUUGGCAUGCCAUGGUCCAGUCCUUCCAAGACCAAGUGUAUGUCAAGAUCAGGGACUAUUUGCAGAGCAAGGGGAAGGGUUUCCUUUUGUGGCUGGUUCGUGAGGAAUCAACUUAACACUGGAAGAGUGGAGGGCGUUGGUAAGGUCCAUUCCCAACAUCAGUGAGGCCAUGGUGGAGGCUGAACGUCAGUGCAGCCCCUCGAAGAAGGAUGUGCCCAAGACAGCCAAGACAUCGUAGCUGAUUCUGGGAAUACUCCUUGUAGCUCUCCAGUUAUUGCAGGCAAAAUUGAUCUUCAGAUGGUUCUGGAGGAGGAAGAGGAGAAGCAGGAUGAGGUCAAGAAAGACAAGGCAAACUUGGAGGAGGAUGAAGGGAGCAAAGAAGACGAAACGAAGGAGGACAAUAAGGAGGAACCAUGAGAUCAAGACCCAAGACCUUCAGCUGUCAUAGACCCAUUUGAGGAUCUGCAAUGGAUGUACAAGGACCAGCUCCAAGAUGAGUACCUGUACGCCUAUGUACAAGACUGCCUCCUUCAAUUUCAUAAGGUGGCAAAGAAGAUGCUCGCCAAGGGUAGCAUUGAAGAGGACCGACGAAUUCACCCGAAGAAACUAGAUAAAAUGCAGCGUGUUUACAACAACCCGAUCAUCUGUCUGGAAACGUGUCUGUUGUGGAAGGAAUUCAAAGAACUGGAAAAAACAUCAAGAUCCAAGACCUUCAGCCGUCAUGGGCACAUUUGAGGAUUUACAAUGGAUGUAUGAGGACCGACUCCACAACCUGUACCCAUACACCUAUUUACAGGACUGCCUCAGUCAAUUUAAUAAGGUGGCAAAGAAGAUGCUCGCCAAGGGUAUCAUUGAAGAGGACCGACGAAUUCACCCGAAGGAACUGGAGAUGUUUCUGUUGUGUAGGGAGUUCAAGGAACUGGAAAAACGUUAGUUUUUCAAACUGCCCCCAUGCUAUAACUUAUUUUAGUGAUGCGAGCUCAUCACAUUAACAAUAUUUUCAGAAAGAGUUUAGAAUUUCACGUCUGUGAAAGGACUUUUUCACCUCAGCUGUUUUUCUUUCACAUGGACUAAGGACAUCCAUCUUCAUGUACAUGUAAGUACCGGUACACAUCAUUCAGUCCUUUUCUGGACUUUGUUUCUCAAUAUCUAGUUUAAAACAUGAUGUACCGUAGCAAAAAAUAUCAACAGUUGUACAGAUUGACAUACACAUUACCAUAAGGCAUAUUACAUAGAUUUCCAUACAAGUCGUUUUCUGCAUUUUAACAGUGUGGACACGACCCUACGGAUUUUUGUUUCUGCGGAGUGAACUUUGUAACUGUCUCUGGUAAGAGCCAUUUGUUUUGAUCUUAUUUGCUUAUAUCUUUGUAUAACCGAGCGACGCAUUUGGCUGUUUAUAAUUGUUUCAGGUGUAUUCAGGUCCAUGAACCUGGAUUCGAGAGACAUCCUUGGGGGACGAAGAAAAAAAAACUUUUAAAGGAUAUUUUAAUAAGCCCUUUUUCAUGUUGCAUUUCUGUUAUAAUUCCAACAGUCAACACAUUAUAGUAAUCACAUGUACAUUGUUUGUGCACGAACUAAUAUACAGCCGAUGACUGCAAAAAAAUGCUGUCAGUGUAAAAUUAAGUAUUAAGAAGUGGUCAAUGGAAGAUUAUAAGAAAGAUGCACGCACACUUGAUGAAAUAAGAGAUAUGUCUAAGCAGAAACAAAAGUAAUAAACAAAACUUGUGUGGCAGAGCAUAUUUUCCCAUUUCUUCCCAUUCAUAUGGUAGUCCCAGACCCACUGCAUUUGUUUCUUCACAUACCUGAUCAACUACUGGUAGUCACUCAGCUUAUUCAGGCUUUGAAAUAAACUGACAAGAUAUUUCAUCGAUCUUUGAGAGGACAUUGUGCAACUCGCUGGUUGCCUCUUCACUGUGGGUCCUGCAAUGAUAAAUGGUACUAGCACCAGUGCAGUAGCGCGUGCAAAUUUAUAUCCCUGCAGUUGCAAAAUGGCCUACCGUAGAAACACGGAAAAUGUGGGAAAGAAGCGGUCUGCAAAGAGCAAUGCCAAGGAGAUUUUGGCAGAAAAGAAGAUGAAUAAUCUUGGGGCUACAAUAAAACUACAUGUAUGUCUCAUUGAUACAAUGAAAAUUGCCACCAUUCAGAAUCAUAUGGAGGGAAUGGUAUAUACAAUGUACAUAGUAAAGGAGAUGUUUUCCAAUUGGAAGCAAUCAGCUAUUUCCUCUCUAGGGAUGCCAUACCCAGUACUCUAGCAGAUAUACCGUACUCAAGAAAAGCAUAAAACCUUGAAGGAUACAUCCUAAAAUUUGUAGAGUUUGAUCAGGAUUCUUCAAAAAGUAGUAUCACUGAUUAAGUAUUUCAUUUUACCAGGGUAGCCCCAUCAGUUGUCACGGAACUGUUCUCGCUGGAGGGAUAUUUUAGUUUGUAUCUGAUACUUCAACCAGCCAUGCCUUGUUGCAUUUGUAUAGGGAUGAUAUUGUCAAUAAAAAAACAUAUCUGAAAAGUGGAUAAAAAUGAUUUGUAUAGGGAUGA